CGGCGGGCCUGUUCCGUCGCCCCGUUCCCCUUCCCCCACGAACAAAACCCCGGCGCACGAUGCGCCAAGGAAUCGCAACGAGAAAAGGAACGAGCACCCGUUGCGCGCCGGGAACGGAAUGCGCACGGGCGGCCUCGUAUUCUUUGAAAACAAAACGACUCUCGGCAACGGAUAUCUCGGCUCUCGCAUCGAUGAAGAACGUAGCGAAAUGCGAUACUUGGUGUGAAUUGCAGAAUCCCGUGAACCAUCGAGUCUUUGAACGCAAGUUGCGCCCGAAGCCUUCGGGCCGAGGGCACGUCUGCCUGGGUGUCAUGCACCGUCGCCCCCCAUCCCCACUCCCCCGAGGGGAGUCGGGAAGCCCGGGGCGGACAAUGGCCUCCCGUGCGCUCUCGCUCGCGGUUGGCCUAAAUCCGAGUUGUUGGCGGCGAGCGCCACGGCAAGCGGUGGUUGGAAAGACCCUCUGAAGUGUCG
rnacentral:rRNA from 1 species